rnacentral:lncRNA from 1 species
GCAGUUUAACACACUGAUCAUAUCUCCAGUAAUUGGAAUCUGAAAUAAGCUGUUGUAAAAGGAUGCAUUCCAACUGCCAUCUGACAAUUCACAUGCUGGUUUGUCCCAGGCAUUACAAGAAUUACAUGACCUGAGUAAAGGAUUGUGACCUAAAACUUAUAGGCAAGGAUCUUGAGACACGGGGAUCUUGCACUAUAUUAAAAAGAUAAAGGGCCAAU